GGAGGGGCGUGUGAUGAGAAAGAAAGCAUACCGGUGCAGAUUCAUCUUCUGGGAUUUUGGCUUCAGUCUCCAUUUUACAUGCUAGUUUCGAUUGUGCUGGAGAUUCUGGUUGCUUCAAACUGAAGCUCCGCACGACGUUAAAUACAUGUAUAUUGUGAAACUUGGAAAUGAUACAUCUGACUUUAGACUUCUGAAGUGACUUAGAAAUGACAAAGCACCACCUGUAAUAUGCUAAUGUAUAUCAGUGAGUUGGCCACAAAUGACAUGGUCCUUCUGAUGUAUCAGUCGCAUGCCAUAAUGAACAACUCCGUGUGAAUGACAAAAUUUUCAAUUUUUUGUUCGCUCAAA